GGAACUCUUUAGAGAAGUGUUCCGGUAUACAUUUAAUGAACCAGAAGACUUACUCUGAGUGUUCCGGUUUACAAUGCAAAAAAGCCAAAUAUUUCUCUUCUCCGGAACUCUUCAACGAAAAUGGUAAAAAAAAUUUGAAAUGGAAAAUAUAGCCUAUUUAUAUGAGGGUAUUUUAGUCAAAAAAAUUUAAAUGUAGGGGUAUGGGGCUAACUGUAGGGGUACAAGGUAAAAUUUUCUGACCACCAAGUCACUAUGCCUCUAACUGCCAACCCUAGUUUUAACUAACCAUGCCUACCAUAAUGCUGCCCUAACUGAC
rnacentral:lncRNA from 1 species